UUGUGAUGUCCAGUUUAAGCAGGAAGUGGCAUAUCAGCAUACUCACUUCCUUGCUGGGGAGGAGCUUCUGAACCAGGAAGAGUCUUUCUCUACACUCCUACAUGGCUGUUCCCAAAGUCUAGCCCAGCCCAUACUUGGUAGAGAAAGCAGAGAAGCAGAGGGACCUAUUUUUCCCCUGAAAGUAUGGUCUCUUCCUUGCCUAAGGGGUUGGUCAGAGCAAUAUUCCCUGAAAGCUGGUAGAGGGCCCUAACCUACCCCCUGUCCUCUUCUGA
rnacentral:lncRNA from 1 species